rnacentral:rRNA from 1 species
CCUACGGGUGGCAGCAGUGGGGAAUAUUGCGCAAUGGGCGAAAGCCUGACGCAGCGACGCCGCGUGAGGGAUGAAGGUCUUCGGAUCGUAAACCUCUGUCAGCAGGGAAGAACGGUCACUGUGCUAAUCAGCAGUGCAUUGACGGUACCUGCAAAGGCACCACCGGCUAACUCCGUGCCAGCAGCCGCGGUAAUACGGAGGGGGCGAGCGUUAACCGGAAUUACUGGGCGUAAAGCGCUCGUAGGCGGUAUGGCAAGUCAAGGGUGAAAUCCCCGCGCUCAACGUGGGAACUGCCUUUGAAACUGGCAAACUGGAGUGUGUGAGAGGAUAGUGGAAUUCCAGGUGUAGGAGUGAAAUCCGUAGAUAUCUGGAGGAACAUCAGUGGCGAAGGCGACUAUCUGGCACAUAACUGACGCUGAGGAGCGAAAGCGUGGGUAGCAAACAGGAUUAGAUACCCUAGUAGUC